UUUCCCCUGCAACUGCCAGCUCAGUGGAAGAAGAAAGUGCUCAGUGAUGAGGAAAAUCUGUCUUCAGUCUAGGUGCUCAGGGCUGCAGGCCCUGUGAGAACUUCCAAAUAUGCUCAGAAGAUCCUUUGUAGUGGCAUGUGGGACUCCUAGU
rnacentral:sRNA from 1 species